GACGAACGCUGGCGGCGUGCUUAACACAUGCAAGUCGAACGGAAAGACCCUGUUCUUGUGGGGUGCUCGAGUGGCGAACGGGUGAGUAACACGUGAGUAACCUGCCCUUGACUUUGGGAUAACUUCAGGAAACUGGUGCUAAUACCGGAUAGGAGCUCCUGCUGCAUGGUGGGGGUUGGAAAGUUUCGGCGGGUGGGGAUGGACGCGCGGCUUAUCAGCUUGUUGGUGGGGUAGUGGCUUACCAAGCGUUUGACGGGUAGCCGGCCUGAGAGGGGGACCGGGCACAUGGGGACUGAGGGACGGCGCAGACUGCUACGGUAGGCAGCAGUGGGGACUAUUGCACAGUGAGCGGGAGCCUGAUGCAGCAACGCCGCGUGCGGGAUGACGGCCUGCGGGUUGUAAACCGCUUUCGCCUGUGACGAAGCGUGGGUGACGGUAAUGGAUAAAGAAGCACCGGCUAACUACGUG
rnacentral:rRNA from 1 species